rnacentral:piRNA from 1 species
UAAUGAAAAGCCUAUUGUUUCUUAGUGUC